UACAGAGGGUGCAAGCGUUGUUCGGAAUUAUUGGGCGUAAAGAGCGCGCAGGCGGUCGAUCAAGUCGCGUGUGAAAGCCCCCGGCUCAACUGGGGAGGGUCACGCGAUACUGAUCGACUCGAAGGCAGGAGAGGGUAGUGGAAUUCCCGGUGUAGUGGUGAAAUGCGUAGAUAUCGGGAGGAACACCAGUGGCGAAGGCGACUACCUGGCCUGUUCUUGACGCUGAGGCGCGAAAAGCUAGGGGAGCAAACGGG
rnacentral:rRNA from 1 species